ACCGCCCGUCGCUACUACCGCUUGAAUGGUUUAAUGAGGUCGUUGAAUUGGUGUCGUUGUAGUGGCUUUGCUGUUCGAAUGACGCUGAGAAGAUGACUUAAUUUGACUAUUUAGAGGAAUUAAAAUUCGUAACAAGGUUUCUGUAGGUGAACCUACGGAAG
rnacentral:ncRNA from 1 species